rnacentral:rRNA from 1 species
AUGUCGUGGCUCACGCGCUCCAUCGCGGCCACGCUCUCCGGCGAGCCCGACCCCGACUCCGACGCCUCCGAAUCCGAGGCCUCCUCCGCCGGCAGGCCGGCCGCGGAGGGGUCCUCGCCGCGCGAUCCCGAGGACGAGGAGCCCGAGGAGCCCAUCACCCCGAGCCGCGGCGUCAAGGACGACAUCUCCGAGCUCACCGAGACCCUCACCCGCCGCCUGUGGGGCGUGGCGUCCUUCCUCGCCCCACCGCCGCCCCCGCCGGAGCCGGAGUCCUCGUCCCCGCGCGCCGCGCCCGCGGAGGCGGACGACGGAGAGGGGGGCGAUGUGGACGUGGACGGGGACGGGAUCGCGGGGAUCCGGAGCGAUCUGGCGGAGAUCGGGGGCAGGGUGAGGAGCGGCAUCUCCAUGCUGCAGAGCAACCUGGCCGUGGCAGAGAUCUCCAAGAUCGCGUCCUCGCUCCUGCCGUUCGGGGAGGAGGAGCCCGACGAAGGGGAGCCCGUCGCCGGCGGGACCGAGGAGGUGCUGGUCUUCGUGAAGCACAUCUCGACGCGGCCUGAGACGUGGCUCGAUUUCCCCCUCUUCAUCAGCGAGCGUUAUGCAGACGAUUUUGAACUGUCGAAUGCUCAGUAUGUGCAUGCACUAUCCAUGGAACACCUUGUGCCAAGCUUAUCAGAUUUAAAGGUUCAGAUUUGCUCCACUGAUAUGAGUGAAGCAUGUUUCUGGAAGAUAUAUUUUGUGCUUCUGCACUCAAAACUGAACAAACAAGAUGCCGAACUUCUUUCAACACCACAGAUCCUAGAAGCAAGGGAGGAGCUGCUGCAAAGCUUACAGGCUAAGAAUAAGCGAGGAUCUGAAACUACCAGAGAAUCAUCAGAGAAUGCGAAUGAAUCCUCUGCCCCAGCUGAAGAGAAGGUGAUAGAACCUUCAAUCAUCCAAGACAAAGAAGUCUCCAUAUCAGAGGUCCGUUCGUUUGAAGAACCCACCUCCGACAUCACGCCAGAAAUCGAGGCCGAGAAGUUCCCAGUGUCAACCACCGAAGUGGAAAUCAUCGACAAGUCAGUGAUCGAAGAAGAGCUGUUGUCAGUGAAAGAUAAAAUCAGGGCCCCACUCGUCCAGUCCAGACUCCACGCCGACACCGAUGAAGACGAAGUGGACGAAUGGCCUGACGAUGACUCAACCGAGGAGCCCGAGGCGGUAGCGGCAGCAAGCAACAGGGCUUCGCUGGGGCGGGAGGAGGACGUGUCGUUCAGCGACCUGGAAGACGACGACGACGACGACGGCGGCAAUAAAGGGUCGGGCAAGUAG